CAGCAGCCGCGGGAAUACAGAGGGUGCGAGCGUUAAUCGGAUUUACUGGGCGUAAAGAGUGCGUAGGCGGCUUCUUAAGUCGGAUGUGAAAUCCCUGAGCUUAACUUAGGAAUUGCAUUCGAUACUGGGAAGCUAGAGUAUGGGAGAGGAUGGUAGAAUUCCAGGUGUAGCGGUGAAAUGCGUAGAGAUCUGGAGGAAUACCGAUGGCAAAGGCAGCCAUCUGGCCUAAUACUGACGCUGAGGUACGAAAGCAUGGGGAGCAAACAGGAUUAGAUACCCCAGUAGUCCCUGUCUCUUAUAC
rnacentral:rRNA from 1 species